AUGACUCCAUGUGCUUUUCAGGCUGUGUUCCAACUUGUGUACCCCAAUAUGACAUUUGCCUUUUCUUUUGGCAAUACUGGCAACUUGUAUACAGCCUGCGAUCUGCAGAAGAAUGCAGAUCCUCUGAAGAGCUGCCACCUGACCAGCCUUAUUAUUGCUCCUUGAUGCAUAUGAUUUCAAACAGUUUGUGGUAAAGGGAUGUGCCACGGGGAGGACGCAAACUUCCUGAACCUGAGGUCCAAACCUUCGCAGGGUCCUCAGAGAUCCUAAGUAAGACGAUUUCACGGGGAAUACUUGAGACCCCUUGGCGAGCAGCAGGCAGAAGUUUAGUGGGGCGGCUGUGCCGGUCCCCCCCACACGCACAGACCGGGCUUCCCGGAGCGCGGCAGCCGCCCAGGUGAGCGGGAGGCGGACGAGCUCAGCCGCGUCCCCGCGGGCACGGAGCGGGGAGCCCGGAGGGCACCAGCCAGCCCCGCCUGCCCUCGGUCCUCCCGGGGGGAGGCGGCCGAACGGCAUCACGCACCGAGCACAAAACGCCCGAGGGUCGGAACAGGCCACGGCCGAACCCGGAGCGGCCCCGACCCGGCCCCAGCCCCAUCCCGGGGCCGCCGCGCCCCUCGGCCGCCGCCCGCCCAACCGCCUCGGCUGCCGCGCCGGCGCUCCCCGCGGCCAGGGCCGCCUUCUUACCGACACAGCUCGGCGAAGGCCUGGAAAUUCAGCUUCCUGAUCUUCUUCUCGCUCAGCCAGUAGCCCACCCGCUUCCCCUUCAGGAAGGUCUGCAUGGUGCCGGUCCGGAGAGGCGGCGGUCGCCCCGCAACGAUGAGGGUCAGCCCGGGGCGGUGGGGGCAGCCCGGCUACCGCUCGCACUCGCCGCCUGCGGAACGACGGCUUUAAGAAAAGAGAAAGGAAAAUCAGUCGGUUCGCCGCGGAGAACGCCGGCGCUACCCCCCACUCGCCCGGCCUGCGCCGCUGAGCCGAGCCAGGCGCAGCCUCCGCCGGCGAGCAGCGUGCAGUGCCCGGCAGGCCUUGCCCCGCACCGGCGGCAGCUCACCGAGCCGGGCAGAGCUGCCUCCGUCGGCGGGAGAGCCGCCACCCUCGUCAGCACGCUCGCCCGCUGCCAGCCCCGGAGCGGCCAGCCGAGCAUGCUGCCCGCCCAGCGCCACCCGCCGCAGCGCCCGCUGUCCCUCUCCCGGGCCGCCUCCGCCUGCACGGACCCCACGCCGGCUCGCCUCCGAGCCCGCCCGCUGCUGCUGCUGCUCCUGCUGCUGCGCGGCCGCGGUGCUGCUGCAGCCGCUCAGCUCCCCAUUUGCCCGCUAUUCGCAGCCGCCUCCACUUCCUCCUCCUCCUCCGGCUCGUCCCUCCUCUCCUCGCUCCCGGCCCACAGCACAGGGGCGGGCGGGUAACGGCAGGACACACCCGCCGCGCCGCGGCCCCGCUCGCACCGAGGGGCGCCGCCCGCCCCGCGCCGCGGGCACGCUGCCCGCCGCACCGCCGCCAGCAGGGGGCGGCCGGGGCCGCGCCCUCGCCUUAAAGAGACAGUGCCCGUGCGGGGCUCGCCCGGGGGCAACGGGAUGUGCCGGCGCGGCCCUGGGCCGGGCUCGGUUUGGAGCUGGUGUUUGCGCCGCCCUCACCCCUCUCCCCCGUGGCCCUGCCCGCCGCAGCCUGCUGCCGGCACGACGGGGGGCAUCCUCCGGCCCUUCCCGGAGCCGCUGUCGGGCGAAGGGUCCAGGGUCUGCCCGCCGAGCCGUGUUCGCGGGAGGGCCCGCCCCGCUGCCUUGCCAGAAAGCGGCUGCCUGGAGAAGGGGCAAAACGCGGGCUCGGCUGUCUGCAGUGACAAUCGGGGAACGCUGUGCCCGUGUCUGCGUUUGAACCGAUCCAGGCGACAGCGGGUGGCAGCUCCCAGGGGUCCGCGGAGAGGGCACGGGUCGUGCUUCCGAUGGGCAAACCCUUCCUCCUCCACGCUCGGCCUCGGCCCGGGCGCCCCUUUUACCCGGCUCGGUUGGCCGUGCCGUGCCGUGCCGUGCCGCCGGGCGGGCGGAUGCUGGCGCACACCCCGCUGGGCUCGCCCGGGCACCGGGGCCGGAGGCGGCCAGUGCCGCCGGAGUGAAGCCCGUCGACGAGCCGUCUAAUUCUGGUUUCCAAAGGAAGAACGGUUUAUACAGCCUCUUAUCAUUCCUAUUAGAACUACUAAAAAUGGUUAUUCAGUACAAGGGUAUACAUCUUUCGCAGAAAAAAGGCUCCAGUAUAUAUGAGUUUUCAAAGCAAAACCAAUUUACCUUCUUCCAGCAUUUGACAAGUAUCUGUAAGGAUUUAACAGAAGUUUCCAUAACAGCUAUUUCUUAUUCAGCUUUUUUUUACCCAGGAGGCAGGCGAAGGCAGGCAAUCGCCAGCAUGAGCUGGCGUUCUGAUUUUUGGGUUGGCAUUCUUAAAUGCCGAGGCAGCUGUUCUGUGCUUCAUUUCAGAGGAAGAAUAUUCCAGUCUGAAUUACUGUGGUAUCUCACAGCACAAGUGUAAUUUUCCCAUCUUUGUUUCUCCAUCUGAAAUGAGCAUCAUCCAGCCUGAACAUUUUUUGCUGUCUCUUUACGAAUGGAAAGCAUAGCUUUUAUAAUAAUUAUGUCUUUCACAGAGUGGUUGGCAGUACCUGCAAUCUGGAACUGAGAUGCAGCUGAUGCUCCUACGGUGAUGCUUUUUGUGAACCAGGCUUGGAGCCCUGUACAGCUGAAACUGCUCAGCGAGUUCUGCUGACUCACAGUGUCACACAAAUGCUGUUUAAUAACUUCAUCAGAGUAUGGGAAAAGUGGUAGAACCAUCCAUUCAGAGGAAAGAAGGGGAAGAGCCAGGAAAGCCUUAAGAAAUACUAAAGGGGUCAUUGACCUGGGGAGUAGGUAGAGACCAUUUUACAUUCCUGCCAUUAUUUGUGUGAGCAGUGAAGUCAUUCUAAGCCAAGAGUGUACUAGAAAGUAGUCAGGGUGUGGAAUCACCCACAAACAGCUCAUACCAAUGUUUUCUGAAAAUGUCUAUAAUAUUUUACUACUUUACUUCAUUUUAUACAGAAAUUAUAUCUACAUAUACUCAAAAUAUAUAAAUAUUUUAAAAUAUAUAUUAUACAUAUAUUUUUACUAGCUUUUCUCCAUUCAUGGUGGUUUUGAGAAAUAGAUAUGUUUCUUUUUCUCCUUCUUAAAUUAUUUGCUAUUGAUAUAACUCACUUUUCACAGCACUUUUAAUCAUAUUCACACAUUUUUGCACAAUUCAUUAAGUAAUGUAACUAGACUUGGUAGAUGUAUUUUGAUAGCAUGAUUCCUGCUGCAGAAUGUUCCACUGAUAUUUAAACAUUUCAGGGAAGUGUGGUAACUUCAGGAAAAUUUGUAAGUCAAAAAGGUCCAAAUGCAAGACAUUAUCAAAAUUCGAUAAGAAUUCUGAAACAAAUUGCUUUGGGUUUCUUGUUUCAAAGUGUUUCAUUUUGCUAACAUCAGUGCUUUACUUCAGCUCUCAUUUCACUGGACUUAUUUUAGACAUUAUUAAAAUUUGCAUGAGUAUAUUAAGCUCAAAAUUUGUAUUUUUAAUUGGAAUGGAAUAUGAAUGUAUUGAAACAUGACCUUAUUGAAGCCAUCUUCCUAAAUUAUUUCUUCUGAAUGUUUUUUCUUUAGGAAAUGUCACCGUUUCAGACCAAUCUAAAACACAGGCUGUGAAGACAGAACAAUUUAUGAACUUCUUUCCAGAUAUGGGAGAGCAGGUGUUCAGAGGUGCUGAACAUUCUUGCCUCCUGCAGAAAUGAAGCACAGGAGCUACAAAGGAGGAAUUUGCUUUGGUCCAAUAUAGAUGCAUGAGAUGUAUCAGAGACCAGAUUCAAUCUUAGGAAGGAGAAAGCUGGACAGAUGUUACUCUGCUGCAGAUGCACAGGAGGAAGAGCUGAGCCUUCCACUUCAGGACAGUCUCCACUUUCUCCAGUUGGUCAAACCACCAAGUCAGAUCACGUGCUAACGUGGCAUUGCUGGAAUGAGGCUGUGGGCAGGAGGGAGAACGAAAAAGCAGCUGCACUGCAGCUUCUUGGCUUUGAGAGACUCAAAGAAGAGCCUCGGUGCUGCACAGCAUCUGGGACUGUUCAUCACCAGUGAGGCAGCUAGAGAAAAAUGCACGGGAAGCACGGUGGGCUACCAUUUCCUCAGGUCUCUGCUUGAUCUACAACUAAUUGAUUACUGCAUGAUCAAUAAAAAGGCCAGAUAUUACUCCUUUUCAUAAAGGUUCACUAGAAGAUGUGAGUGAAGCUGAGCUUCUCCAGUUUAUGGCUGGUUUCUGCCUAACUUCUGGCAAAACACAUUAUAAUCUCAGCUAUUGUCUGGAAACUUUUCUGAGUGUACUCUGGACCAGCAGUUUUUAAACAAUGAACUAGCGAAAGUUAGUACUUGUGGAUGGAAGCUCAUUUCUGAUUUUUGGUUUAAAAUCAUGAAGGCUAACUCUAGGCAAAGGACAUGCUUCAGCCAGCUGCUGUAGGGUUCCUGACUCUCGUUCUCACCUGCUGCCAUGCCCUCCUUUACGACAGCCCAAGUGCCCCUGUGGCUGUGUGUGAACAGGACUGGGGACCUAGGAACUGAGCUGAGUUAAAACAAACUCAGAAAGCUGACAACAGUAUUUUAGUCUUAAUCCAAACCAAUUCCCCAGUCUGGAACACCAUCCUUCUUCCUACCUGUUUACAGUGGCAGAAGGAAGAAGUCAGUGAAAAGGCUGGAAGAAGGAGGCCAGGUAGAGGAAGCACCAAACUGCCUCUUUUGGUGGCAAUCCCAUUUUACAGCAGCAGCAGCGGAUGGUGAAAGCAUGGUGUUCACCACCACUGCUCCCUUACUCACCUAACAUCCUGUGCAGUAUUUUGAUUUUAUAAAUAAAAGAAGGAUGAGGACCGGCUGAGACUCAUCAGUAUUUCUGAGACCUUGUAGAGAGCAGCAGAAGAAAUUCAGCCAGAAGGGCUCAAAAACCUUCCAAAAGGUCACCCAAAAGAGGGUGAUGACGCCUGGCAGAUGACCAGAUAUUACUCCUUAUAUGUAAAUAUAAUGUUAAUUUAAUUUUCAAGACUUAAAUGAAUGACAAUGGUCUAAGCAUAAACAAACAAACAAAUAAAUGGUGCCGUGUGUCUGUUUUAUUCAAAGCCACAUUUGCAAUUCAGAAUUGUCUCUUGGAGCCAUCAGGCUUUUCCCAGCUCUCAAGCAGAGAGGGAAUCUCUUGUCCGGAAGACAUCUGCCACGGGUGCUGUGCUGCUAGUAGCUGUGGAUAUGUUGUGUCCACUGACUGCAACAGCAGCCCCUGUCUGAAAUUUGGGGCAGAAGCAGCUGUUACCUCGCCAGUGCACCACAGACCUUGUCACAUAAAUUCAAGGGACCUCUUGUUGGACCAACGUGAGCAAGUGGAAUGAGGACAGAUGACAAGCAGCUGGUAAGACACGAUGUCUUUUGAUUGCUCUCUUGGUGCACAUCAUUCUUGUAUCCCAGGAAAAUUUCCCACCAUCAGAAAAAUAUCUGUGUUUUAAAACAGGAUGCAUUUUCACAUUCAAGGAUUCCUGAGAUAACUCUCCCCAGCCCCAGCAGAACGCUGCUUAGAUUGCUACCUGUAACACUGGUAGCACGGCAAGCUCUUAUGUUCCAGUCAUGAAAACAGGAUAACGAUGAGGUUUUUUGAAACUGCAAGGAAACCACCAUUAUGAGACAGGAUGUCUCACUUUAUGUACAGCUCAGAAAUUUGACUAUCCUAUACUCUGAUGGAUAUACAUGCUGCAGGAAAGUAAGAAAGGGUCUGGCUGCCAAGUUGGCUCACUUGGCUUGUAGCACUUUGGGUGCAGGCUUUGUAUGAGCUCAUAAACCAAGAAAAGCAUAUAAUCAGUGAAUAGAGAAUUUAAAACCACAAAAACCAUGUGGCCAAGAAGCAAAAUAUGAAGUCCUGUGCCAGUAUAAUUAUCUCAGUAGGAACAGAUUUUUAAAACUUAAUAAUGUUUGUUAGUCAAAUCCCAAGUGUGGAUACAGACUGCGCGGCUAUGCAUUGCCGUAGCUCUCUUGCCUCCUGUCAUGGGAAUAAACUACACAGAAAUUAUGGUUCUGCACACUCUUUCAUUAUCAACAUAUGGAGAGAUUUACUUACCUGAUUGCUUCAACAUAGUUAGAUUUACUCAUACUAUGUGUGGAAAUAAGUCCUGAAACUCUUCUUUCCGAAGAACUUGGGUGACCUGACAGUGCAUUAGGUUUGGAUUGAGACUUGGAUAAGGAUUAGGUGGAUUGAGGUUUGAUCUACCUACAGUUUCAUGUUAACGGAAUUACUCAGGUUAUGGUUUGGUUUUGUUUUGGUUUUUAAUCAGGUAUUUUUAAGUACCUAUGACAAUUCUGGGAGCAUGCUUCCAGCAAAAUGAGCCAUCUUUACACACACAUACACACAAAUCAAGCAUAUAUAUUUUGUAUUGCUAGAAUUUAUUAUUUUUUAAAACAAUAUAACCAGUUUUAAAAUUAUUAAUGUAAAGAAGACUGAUAUGGAUGUAUGUGUUACACAUAAAGUGACCUAAACAUACAUGAAUCCUACCACUAUUAUCCCAUAUUUUGCUGGAUUAGAUCUGUCUUUGCCUCUUGUGUUCAGAACACAUUGUUCCAGAUGACCUAAAGCACACGUCCUCACCCCAGCAAUUCUCCACUUCCACAAGUUGUUUGUGGCUACAGUUGAGCCUUGUAAACUGCUAAAACUGAGAAAACAGGAAAGAUAAAAGUCCAAUGUGGUCUGCAGUGCCACACUAUCA